rnacentral:SRP_RNA from 1 species
UCGUGCUAGACGGGGAGUUAGCGGUGCCCUGUACCCGCAAUCCGCUACAGCGGGGUUGAACUCCUCCUUGCGGCUGGCAUGUGUGAAAACGGGUCCCGGAGGGCAGUGUUGAGGAUCGGGUCCCACGCGGCGUUGGACUGCGAACCCCGUCAGAUCCGGAAGGAAGCAGCGGUAAGCAAAUUCCAGCGGGUGCCGUGGAGACGCCUGAUCGGAGCCAGCCAGCGAGACUACGCUCGGACGUUCCCGUCAAGGGGAGGUGCACGG